GUUGGUUAGACAUACAGUGGGCCUCGUGGGUUAAUGAAAAUUAACUACGGGGCUUUCUGCUUUCU
rnacentral:misc_RNA from 1 species